rnacentral:sRNA from 1 species
UGAGGUAGAAAGGUGCUAUUGCGUCACCAC